ACGGGAGGCAGCAGUGGGGAAUAUUGCACAAUGGGGGAAACCCUGGUGCAGCGACGCCGCGUGAGUGAAGAAGUAUUUCGGUAUGUAAAGCUCUAUCAGCAGGGAAGAAAAUGACGGUACCUGACUAAGAAGCCCCGGCUAACUACGUGCCAGCAGCCGCGGUAAUACGUAGGGGGCAAGCGUUAUCCGGAUUUACUGGGUGUAAAGGGAGCGUAGACGGUAAUGCAAGUCAGAAGUGAAAGCCCAGGGCUCAACCUUGGGACUGCUUUUGAAACUGUAAUACUAGAGUGCAGGAGAGGUAAGUGGAAUUCCUAGUGUAGCGGUGAAAUGCGUAGAUAUUAGGAGGAACACCAGUGGCGAAGGCGGCUUACUGGACUGUAACUGACGUUGAGGCUCGAAAGCGUGGGGAGCAAACAGGAUUAGAUACCCUGGUA
rnacentral:rRNA from 1 species